AAGACAUAUUGGGCAGUCCUGAUUGUUUGCCUCGUAAAGUGUGUGAGGAUGCUGAGAAGAAUUUGGCUAUCAAAUUGACCUACCGUCAGGCUUGGAGUGUGAAGCAGAGGAUUAGGGAGGCAAUCAAUGAGAAGUCAGGUGAAUCCUAUAAACUGAUACCCUGGCUAUGCAAUCGCUUAGUUGAGGCAAUGCCUGGAACUAUUGCUACAUGGUCCUGCACCGAAGAAAACAGAUUCAAGAGGCUCUUUGUGUCAUAUGACUGCUCAAUACGUGGGUUCGAUGUUGGAUGCAGG
rnacentral:misc_RNA from 1 species